CAUGAGUGCAUUGUGAGAUGAUUUUCUUGGCACUAAGAAAUACGUGGAGCCAGCUGGUGAAAGACUUUGCAGCAGGAAUUGGUGCUUUUCAAGCCUGAUGAUGCAGAGGAGAGAUGUGUGAGGAUGUGAGGUCCCUGUCUUCUUACAAACAGACGUGCAGAGAGGGAGAUGGAUUUAACCCAAAUUGAAGUGGAUUAUACACAUCUUCUAUGCCUCCAGUCAGCAUUACAUAACCUUAAAUCUAGUUAUGCAUCCCUGUUUCAUUUUAGGAGCGAGAUUGGAGGACGGUGGGCGGGGUGCAAUCAAAACCUCUGAAGAUAUUCACAUGUUGGCAACCCUACCCACAUGGUCAAGAAUAUUCCAGGAUUUGUUAUGAUGUCAGCAAAUUAAACAGGUGGUGAAUCAGGUGGAACUCUUUGAUGGUCAGUCUGGA